rnacentral:rRNA from 1 species
UACGUAGGGGGCAAGCGUUGUCCGGAAUCAUUGGGCGUAAAGAGCGUGUAGGCGGCUCGCUAAGUCUGCUGUGAAAGUCCAGGGCUCAACCCUGGAAGGCCGGUGGAAACUGUCGGGCUAGAGUCCGGAAGAGGCGAGUGGAAUUCCCGGUGUAGCGGUGAAAUGCGCAGAUAUCGGGAGGAACACCAAUGGCGAAGGCAGCUCACAAAGCCAUUAUUGACACUGAGGCACGAAAGUGUGGGGAUCAAACAGG